AUGGAAGAUCUAGAGCUGCGUAUGGAGAGGAAGAAAGGAAAACCUUUUGACAUCAAGGAGCUUCACAUGAAAACAGUAAGGCUUGGAGAUGCUGUAACUAUGGAGUGUAACAUUACUGAAGUCAGAAACAAAAAUAGUUUAGCUUGGUACAGACAGAGUUUUGGAAAGAUUCCUCAGUUUUUGGCGAGACAAUACAGUAACACUCAGGGCUACAUAUUUUCUGAUGGAUCUUAUGAUAGCCACUUCAGUGUUACUGUAAAGGACCAAAAGUUUGAUCUCAACAUUAAUAAAACAAGAGAAGAUGAUGGAGGAGAAUAUUUCUGUGGAUAUGUGGAGGGAAGUACAGUAAAGUUCACAUCUGGAACACGUCUGCAGUUUGAAGGUGAAGAGAUGAAACCCUGUCCUACACCUGGAACACUUAACAAGAACAACAGCAGUUUCAUCUGUACGGAUCAGAUGUGUGUGAUGUUCUGGCUCUCUGUUACUAGAGUUGGAGUUCUUGUCUUCAUUAUUUUUCCGGUGAUCCUGAUUGUUUUCAAAUAUAAAUAG